UGGUGGAGUGAUUUGUCUGCUUAAUUGCGAUAACGAACGAGACCUCGGCUUGCUAAAUAGUAGCGUUAAUCUUCUGUAUGGGUGAAGCUGUGAGGCAGGGUUCCUUGUGGGAAACCACGAGGGAUCCCUUUGCAGUGGAUCCUUGAAGCAUUGAUGGAUGUGCUUCUUAGAGGGACAACUUAUGUAAAAUGAGGGGAAGAUAGAGGCAAUAACA
rnacentral:rRNA from 1 species